rnacentral:misc_RNA from 1 species
GAUGAAGAACGCAGCGAAAUGCGAUAAGUAAUGUGAAUUGCAGAAUUCAGUGAAUCAUCGAAUCUUUGAACGCACCUUGCGCCCUUUGGCUAUUCUGAAGGGCAUGCCUGUUUGAGUAUCAUGAACACCUCAACUCUCAUGGUUUGCCAUGAUGAGCUUGGACUUUGGGGGUCUUGCUGGCCUACGGUCGGCUCCUCUCAAAUGAAUCAGCUUGCCAGUGUUUGGUGGCAUCACGGGUUUGAUAACUAUCUACGCUUGUGGUUUCCCGCCAGGUAACCUUCAGUGAUGGAGGUUCGCUGGGGCUCAUAAAUGUCCCUCCACAGUGAGGACAGCUUUUGAACGUUUGAUCUCAAAUCAGGUAGGACUACCCGCUGAACUUAAGCAUAUCAAUAAGCGGAGGA